rnacentral:misc_RNA from 1 species
GAUUAGCUUAUAUAUAUAUAACAUGUGAAUCCAAAAACUAUAGUAUAAAGCACAAACAAAGCAUGCAAAAAUUUCGAAAUAAUUUAGUUGCCUGUGGUUAAGCAGCAGUUCAUCACGGGCGUUUUCCAAAGAAAUCCUUGGUCCUCUUCCUUAUGCGCGUGAACAAAAUAACCGCAGCAGCCAGGACCCAUGGUGGGAUAUUACCACCAGUGAUGUUCAACUUUUUGGCCCAUUCUGGAGACUCUUUCAUCACCAUUACUAUCAAUAUGGUGAUCACUGCAACACCAACCAAUAUCCUGGUAAUAGGUUGGAUCAACGAGUCCUUAGGUUCUCCAUCAAUAUGGAUCUCCGAUCCAUCUCUAUAGGUUAGAAUCGAUCGGCCGUUACGGGGAUUGAAUCUGAUAGGAACACCUCGGCCAGUCUCCGGUUUGAAUGCAUAGACCGAUUUGAACCCGUAUUUGUCUAGAAUAUCACGAACCUCUAGCUGGUCUUGCUCAAAUCCACCUAAGGACGACGUGAAUUCGUCGAUCGGACCCUUCCCUUGCUUAUACAGAUGGACCUUGAUCUCCGGGACCUUGGUCUUAACAGACUUAGUCCGGGUUGACGGAAUCGGGUCGGUUUUCGGGUUCGAUAACAGUGGAGACAUCUCGUCGGCGCCGGUGGAUGCUUCUUCGAUCUCUACCAUGAUUGAAAUCGUCGUUGAGUGGCCGGCGAUGACAGAGACGGAAAAGAAGGGAGAGACGAGCCGGGAGGUGGGGGUGGGGUGUGGAGGCGUCAAUUUAAAAGCCUUUCUGAACCAUCAUAUCGU